GAUUUUUAAAAAGAAAUAAGAUUUAAUACUGCUUUUGGCAUCGGCCAUAUUUAUCAUGCCUACUGAAGUCUGCGGUGGAAGUUAGAUUACAAAACUAAUUUUACACCCAAAGUUCAGUACAGUGCAGUAGUCUGGCAGUUGGGGUAGACUGCUUGAAAUGGUGCUAGUUUCCUCAAUGGACUUCAGCUCCAAGUAAUAGGAUACUGUGUAUUAGCAGGCUGCAUGCAAAGGUUGAGGUCUGUGUCUUAUCCCCUCCACCCCCCUUCACUUGAAUUGUCAGCGUCUUCCAGAGGCUUGUGAAUAAAAAAUUGGUAAACUUCUGAAAAAGCCUAAGAGAUAACACAGUCGGUUCUCUUCCCUUGCCCCCCAAAAGUUAAUUACCAAGCUUGGUUGGAUUCCUCCUUGCCACCCUGACAUUUGACUGCUGCUAAUUCACUGAUUAAUCUCAUUAAUGUGAUUAUAGUGGGAUUUGUAGUUGGCUGCCAUUGUUCUGCAGACAGUGCUAUUCAGCCCGAGCACUUGCCACCUCAUUCAGUUUGGCUGUGAUUUUUCAAAGGCGGUGGGGCGAGCCAUUGUGCACGCCGUGCCCGCGCCUCGCCUUUCAGCACCGGGAGCUGUCCGCCGCUGAUAGCAAUUACCUCCAGCGCCGCCCGGCUUCCCACCGGCUCGCUGGCAACGUGGAGACGGCUGGCUUUCAUCACCCUAAUGAUUCCGCUCGCUGAGGUAAAGGCAGGAGAGGCUUUUAUGCCUUCUAAUUAGGCGAUGCGAAGAUGGCUGUGGUAAAGCGUCAAAUCUCUGCAUUUCACUACUUCUUCCUUUCUUUUAAAAGCUGUCUUAGCGUGCAUUUUGUUUUCUCGGAGAUCUACAGGGCAGUGUAGCUUAGAUAGAACUUCCUUGCAGCCAUGCAAUUUAACUCUUAGGACAUGAGGGACAUUACAGCUGUUGCCAUACUUAGCCCGACUUCUUCACAGGGGGAAAAAAAAAAGAGAGCUUUGUUGAGGGCAGCGUUGAUGCAAGUGAAAAAAACCCUACACCAGAUUGCAUGCCGUCAGGAUGAAGCAAACAUGGAAGCUCGACUCCGCGCUCCGAGCAGGAGGCCGCUCUCCCGCCGACCCCCCUCCGCCCUGCUCCGCGCCGCACCGCCCUCUCCCCGCCCGCACCCCCGCACCUGCGGCCCGGCCGCUCCCGGGGCUCCGCGCCUCGGCCCCGGGGGAGCCCCGCGAGUGCGGGGAGAUGUAAUCAGAGAUGACAGAGAAAAAUUAAAGGAAAAAAAAAAAAGAGCGAGGUGGAGAUGGGGGGCGGGGGAAGAGACACGUAAGUCCUCCUUUUUUUUUUUUUUUUUUUUUUUUUGCUAUCUGAGGGAAACACUUCGUUUUCCACCAAAAACGUGUAAGUCGUGAGGGCUCAGCUAUUGUUAGUCCCUGCCCCUGCAGGCUGGCUCUCCUCUGAAUUGCUACGACAAACUUUCCCGAAAAAGCCCCUUUCCUGCCAUCGCCAUCAGAACGCGGCUGCGUAGGGCUGCUGGCCCCUUCUGACUGCGGUGUGAUUCCUGCAGGGCGGGAUGGGAAUUGUAACCUCUGUAGUGACCGACAUGUCUGGGCUCUGCACGUCAGCCGGGUCGGGAGGGAUCACCUCCGCGGCUGGAAGAGGGUUCCGUGUGACCGUGGGUCAGUCCGCCCCGGCCGCCGGGCUGCGCCCGCGGUGCCCUUGCGGCGGCGAGGCGGGGGGAGCGGUGCGGUGAGGGGGGGCUGCAGCAGCACAAUGGCAAUAAGGAGGGCAGCGGGCGUGGGUACGCGGGGAGGGCACUGCGCUGCGUGCGCGCUGCCUGCCCGCCUGAGGGUGGGAUGCUGCAGGCAUCGCCGGGGAGAGGCGGCACGGCGAUGCCCGGAGCAGGCAGCGGGCGCGGCACGGCCAAGUCCGCGGGGCUUCGCGUCCCCCCUCCCCCCGCCGCCGUGCCCACACACACGGGGCUGCCUCUGCCCUCGCAAAAAGAUCACAGCCCCUCCCUCUGCCACCGAAAUGACAUUUCGGGGACGGGUUCGGAGGAAGCGGCGCCCGCUGGCAGCCCGCUCCCGGCGGAGGGCAGCGGCUGCCCGGGGGCGAGACCCGCGGGGAGCUGCCCGGGGGCGGGCGCUGCGGCAGGCGGCGGGGGGCCGCUCCCCGCUAUUGUCUGCGUGACACAGAGCCCGCGGGUAGGGACGCGCUCCGCGGCUGAGCGGGAGCAGCGAGCACCGCAAAUCUGCGUCUGAUUGCCGGGAAUAGUGGUGUCGAGAGGCACUGCAAACCUUUUUGUGUGCGAGCCCUUGUUUACGUUGGGGCUGGCGAUCACAUCAAAUUCAGGUGCGCCAGGCGCUAAUGGUGGAAGGCUGCUAAUCUGUUCAGUCGGCGAUAGUUCGUUUC
ensembl:lncRNA